ensembl:lincRNA
GAAGCUUGCAGUGAGCCGAGAUCGCGCCACUGCACUCCAGCCUGGGCAACAGCGUGAGACUCCGUCUCAAAAAAAAUAAAUAAAUAAAUAAAUAAAAUAAAGUACAGAGCCUUUAUAAUUACUUAUGCAUGAAGCAAUCACACAAAUGCAAGAUUCUUCUACAGGUCCCCUGAAAACAGUGUCACAGCUGGUUACAUCCAAACAUCUUAUAAUUACUUUACAAAACCAGCUGAUAACCUUGUCAGUAGCAAAGUAAUGAAUUAGUAUGAAAAAUACAUUACUCUUACUUGAAUUUACUAAUAUGACUAUAGAUGAUUCUUAGUGUCACAAAUUUAACCGCUUUAAGAGCGCUUUAUACUGUUUUGGAAUGUUUCGCCCUUUCAAUAGGUCUUUGUCAGGAGGGCUAGUUCCACAUGAACAAGAAAAUUAAAAAUAUUCUUUCAUAUCAUGGCCAAGACAUAAUUAUAGACAGAAAGCCAGAACUUGGCAUCUCACACGUGGAGAUGUGGAUGUAAGCAGCUUUUAUUUUGAACAGAAAAGGUGCAAGGAGCCAGAUGAGUGUUUUUGGCUUUCAGAAAAAAGGCAGAUCUCCCACCUGGUAAAUGAUAGGGACAGAGUCCAAAUUGGCAAGCCCUAGUGGAGUGUUGGGAAACAUGAAAGCCUCCAAGGGACAUGAGCUGGAAAGGGGAUAAUUGCCAGUGGAAGAAAAACAGACCCAAACACAUUGUUGGCAGAAAGGUAUUUGGCCCUAUGGUCCAGAAAAACAGCCUGAUAGAUUGUUCCCAUUUGGAAAUGUACCUCACAUACCCUAAUUUGUUAAACUUAUAUUUAUCUGAAAUAUGUUUUUUCUAUUUUCCUGCAUUGCUAAUUUGAAAUAUCUAUCAAUGGAAAUAAUUUUCAAGACAUAAAGACAACUCAGAAGUGUUGCAGUGAUCAUAGCUCACUGCAGCCUUGAACUCCCGGGCUCAAGUGAUCCUCCUACCUCAUGCCUCACCACCUCAGCCUCUCCAGUAGCUGGGACUACAGUCCUCCCCAAGAAAUUCCACAUGGAAACUUGAUAAGGCUGGCUGUGGAUGAGUUAUUCUGUUCCAAGAUUGGACUCUGUGAAGAGCACGGGUGUGGUGGCUUAAGAGAAUUUUCCCAACGAGUUUUCUGCCAUGGGGCACCCCCUUUUGUUGUCUUAAAUAUGCAGCAUUGGAAAUCUGAAGAUCUGGCAUAUGUACCCUAUUACUUGGAUUUGUCUGAUCACAAGUAUUUGUUGGAAGGUGCCACAUUAUUUAACAAAGAGGAACAUCAUUAUUCUGCAGCUUUCCAGAUUGGUGGACAUUGGAUGCACUAUGAUGGGCUCAGAAAUGUGAAUUUAAUUUUGUUAAAUAAACCCCCAGAGUUUCUCCUCUUGUCAUCAUUGGUUUAUAUUCGAGCAACAGAGAAAUAAAUACAGACUGAUGCUAAAAGUUGUUUUCCCUCCUGCCCAUGCUCCCCCAGAUGAAGGGCUUUUAUUUUGUGUAUACUUGGUAUCCAAGAAAAUAGUUCAACUAUACUAGUUUCAGCAGUGUAUUUUCAGUGUUUAACCCCAGGUAAAUGUUUUAUAUAGAGGAUCUAUGCAAAAACUGUUUGUAAUUUUUUUUUAUAUUUCCUGAGUUAUUUUUAUAUGAGCAUAUUUUAUGUUGAAAUAAAAAGUAUCUUGUGGCCUUUGUAUUUUUUAUUUAUAUGUACCUCAAAGAUUUUUACAAUUCUGUCCUUGAAUUCAAGAAAUACGUUGUCAUCUGAAUUCUAAAUUUUUCUUUUUGGAUAUUCAAGUAAAACCUAGGUAAGAGUAUUUUAGUUUAUGUAAUUUAACAGUUCAAAAUAUAUCUGACUGUAUUUCUUUGCCCUACCUCACUAUAAUCCGAAGUGCACUAUUUGAUCUAGUAUGGAUUUGAAUGUAUAAUUUAUUGAUGGCUUAGUUUAUUUGUUUGAUUUGCCCAGUAUCCCUGCAGCAGUUUAAAAAGUAUGAGAAAUUUUUCAGAGCUUAAACUAUUUCUUUAUAAUGGCAAAUUACUUUUAACUAUUUCCUAAAGUAUUAUAAACCUGCCAGUGGAUUUUAAGUGAUAGCUAAGCUUCCAAGCUUAAUUCAGGUUGUUACAAAUAAAUUAUAUAACUAUCCUAAGUGUUUAUCUUAUAAUUAAAUGUAAUUUGAAAUGCUCUAAUAUAUUUUGCAGAUAAAACAACUAUAAACAAUAUUAGGCAACUGGAUGUUUACUAGUGUCGGACUAGCAAUAGAAAUGCACUUUAAAUAUAUAUUUAAGGGGAAAUGUGUGCCUGGAAAUAUUUCUUUUCCUAGUGAAGUUUUACAUUGACACAGAAAAGAAUACUUAAAUUUUUGGAGGGAUGUCUACUGGCUCCCUUAUAAGUAGUGAUUGAUAGCAUGCGGCUUUGACUUGCAAUACAAAUCAUUAGGAUUUUAUAGGUAUCAGAACAUUACGUUUCUUUAUAAAGACCCUAAGGUCACUCUUCUUUUUGCAACUUAAGGGAAAAAAUAAAGAUUCUCAAGGGAAAAUACUUUUUGAAAUUUAUCACCAUUUUAGUGUUUACAUUUCAAUAAAUAGUUCACUUCAGGUUUGGGAUUGAGAUUAGUUGCAAUAUAUUUAGAAACUUAUACAUGACAGCACAGAUCACUGCCAUCUGCUGAAUUGCUAAAGUGCUUGGUGCCAUGUUGAGAAAACUUACCCGAGAAUGGAUAAAUAUGGGUGAAACAUUACUGAGAAUGCCUCACGUUAGCAAACACUAUGAAAAGUCUUGUUUAUAUAUCAAACUUAUUUUACAAAAAAAAAAAUUCACCCCAGGAUUUAUUUAGAUGGUUUCCCAGGUGUAUCUGAAUAGGAUUUAAUUUAGAGUAAACUUUUCUGGGGACACCUGAUUGCAUGAAUUGAAGUAUACAAUAAUGAAUAUUACAGUAAACAUAAAUGGUGUCAUUAACAAAAUUAUUCCUAAUGCACAUUUAUUCUUUUAGGAAAUGCACUUUUUUUGGAAUACUAGCGUAUCAUGAAACAAUGACUUACCUACCUCACAGGGUUGUUGUGAGGAUUAAGAUGUUUGUUAAAAUCUUGACUACCUUGAACAUGCUAAUAAAAAAAUUUUUUUCUACCUCUUUUAUUUGCAGGCAAGGCUCCCAGGUUUUCUCUUACUAAUGAACUUUGCAGAUUUUAAAAAGUUAUUUAGGCUGUAACUCAUAUCACUGAUAUAUUUAGUGUGUAAUGGAAAUUGAGUAUUCCUUCUUGACCCCAGGUUGAGGCUUAAGGAGAACAGAUAGUUUAUUUUUAUGGUAGCAGCUAGUUGAUAGAAAUAAUAAAUUAUCCCCUGCUGACCAAACAGUGAAUAGAAAAAGGAUUAAAAAAAAAAAAAAAGAAUUAACUAGAUUAUCUAUGGAAUGUGAAGGUGAGCGUAUGGAAAAUUCUUUGUAAUUCUAUAAACACCCUUAGAGAAAUCAGAAUAAUCUAUUGGUGGGGAGCUAAAGACAUGAGGUAAUAAUCAGAAUAUAUAUACACAUGUGUAUAUAUAUACACAUAUGUGUAUAUAUAUAUACACGUGUGUGUAUGUGUAUAUAUAUAUACACGUGUGUGUGUGUGUGUAUAUAUAUAUAUUUUUUUUUUUUUUUGAGAUGGGAGUCUCGCUGUCACGCAAGCUGGAGUGCAGUGGUUACAUCUUGGCUCACUGCAGCCUCCGCCUCCCUGGUUCAAGCAAUUCUCCCACUUCAGCCUCCCUAGUAACUGGGAUUACAGGUGCACAGCCACCACACCUGGCUAAUUUUUGUAUUUUGAGUAGAGACGGGGUUCCACUAUGUUGGUCAGGCUGGUCUCAAACUCCUGACCUCAGGUAAUCCACCCUCCUCAGCCUCCCAAAGUGCUGGUAUUAUAGGCAUGAGCCUCCGCGCCCAGCACCAGAAUAUAUUUUUAAUCAAUAUACCACAAACCACUACUAUACCUACAGGGUCAGCAAAAAUAAUUUUAAAACCUUUUCUACAAUCUGGCAUAAAGAACAAAUAAGCAAAUUUAAGAAGGAGUCUUCAACUAGCUUCAGCAAAAGAAACCAUUUCUUCUUUAACUUCUGCAAAUAAUCUUAUUCCUUCAAAGUAGUUUAUAAUAAUUUAUAAAUUAUUAGAGUUUGUUUAAACUGUCACUAGAUCUAAUCCAAUGAAAGAGGAAUAGAAAGGAUAACUGACUACCACAGGCAUGCUUACUAGAGUGAGUCCCAUGUUCUAUUUCUUUCCUAAAGUAUGAGCAAACUAUAUAAUCAGAUGACUACUAUGACACAUAAAAAGCUAUACAUGGCAGGACACGUGGCUCAUGCCUGUAAUCUCAGCACUUUGGGAGGCUGAGGUGAGGGGAUCACUUGACUCAGGAGUUCCCUGGGCAACAUAGGGAGACCCCAUCUCUACUAAAAAUACAAAAAUCAGUCGGGUGUGAUGGUGUUCACUUGUAUCCUGUAGUGCCAGUUAUGCAGGAGGCUGAGGUGGGAGGAUGGCUUGAGCCUGAGUCGGAGGUUGCAGUGAGCAGAGAUCACUGGAGCAGCCCGAGCAACAGAGCAAGACCUGUCUCAAAAAUAAAUGAAUAAAUAAAAAAUAAAAUUAAAAUUAAAAAAAAGAAAAGCUGUACAUGUUGAGCAUAUGAAAAAUUUAGUUUUGUUUAUGUGUUUGUUUUUUAGAUGGAGUUUCGCUCUUGUUGCCCAGGCUGGGGUGCAAUGGCACGAUCCUUGGCUCACCGCAACCUCUGACUCCCGGGUUCAAGUGAUGCUCCUGCCUCAGUCUCCCAAGUAGCUGGGAUUACAGGCAUGUACCACCACGCCCGGCUAAUUUUGUAUUUUUAGUAGAGACGGUGUUUCUCCAUGUUGGUCAUGCUGGUCUCAAACUCCCGAUUUCAGGUGAUAUGCCUGCCUUGGCCUCCCAAAGUGCUGGGAUUACAGGCGUGAGCCACCACGCCCAGCCCAAAAUUGAGUUUUAUAAUGAUUCAGUGACGUUUAAUUAUUAGAAAACAACUGUAAUGUACUAUAAGGCAGAAAGGGUAAGAAGUUCAUGUAAAAUGAUUGUAAUUGAUAUUACUAAACUACAGCCAAACCAAACAUUUAAAAUUUUUAAAUUUUCUCCUUUUCCUUUGUUGAUGCCCUAGCAUUUAAAAUCAGCAUCAAAUUAUUCUGCCCUAAAACUGCAUAGCUUUAAAAGUUCAUCUUAUUGAGACAUUUCUAUAAAGGUCUUAAAUUCCAUAUCUUACUAUCAGGGGUUCCUACAUCCCACCGUACUGGCCCAAGCUCCACUGUCUGGUCAGCUGGACAGCCUCCUUGCUAUGGUUUGAAUGAUGGUGUCCCUUUCAAAUUUUACAUUUAUCUUAAUCCCUAUGGUGGUGGUACUGAGAACUGGGGCCUUUGGGGAGGUGAUUAAGUCAUGAGGGCUUUGCCCUCAUGAGUGAGAUGAGUUGCCCUUAUAAAUGGACUUUUUUUUUUUUUUUUUUUUUUUGAGACAGGUUUGCUCAUAUUUUUUUGAGACAGGUUUUCUUUUUUCUUUUUUUUUUUUUUUUUUUUCUUUUGAGACGUGUCACCCAGGCUGGAGUGCCAUGGCACAAUCAUGGUUACUGCAGCGCUCAACC